UACAUCCAGUAACACAGGCAGACACACACCCAUCAUAGACCUGUCAUCAACGUCCAGUAACACAGGCAGACCCACACCCAUCAUAGACCUGUCAGAUUGUCUACAGGUAAUUCACGUCCAGUAACACAGGCAGACACACACCCAUCAUAGACCUGUCAUCAACGUCCAGUAACACAGGCAGACCCACACCCAUCAUAGACCUGUCAUCAACGUCCAGUAACACAGGCAGACCCACACCCAUCAUAGACCUGUCAGAUUGUCUACAGGUAAUUCACGUCCAGUAACACAGGCAGACCCACACCCAUCAUAGACCUGUCAUCAACGUCCAGUAACACAGGCAGACCCACACCCAUCAUAGACCUGUCAGAUUGUCUACAGGUAAUUCACGUCCAGUAACACAGGCAGACCCACACCCAUCAUAGACCUGUCAUCAACGUCCAG